rnacentral:rRNA from 1 species
AACGAACGCUGGCGGCAUGCCUAACACAUGCAAGUCGAACGAGCCCUUCGGGUCUAGUGGCGCACGGGUGCGUAACGCGUGGGAACCUGCCCUUAGGUUCGGAAUAACUCCCCGAAAGGGGUGCUAAUGCCGGAUAAUGUCUUCGGACCAAAGAUUUAUCGCCUUUGGAUGGGCCCGCGUUGGAUUAGCUAGUUGGUAGGGUAAAAGCCUACCAAGGCGACGAUCCAUAGCUGGUCUGAGAGGAUGAUCAGCCACACUGGGACUGAGACACGGCCCAGACUCCUACGGGAGGCAGCAGUGGGGAAUAUUGGACAAUGGGCGAAAGCCUGAUCCAGCAAUGCCGCGUGAGUGAUGAAGGCCUUAGGGUUGUAAAGCUCUUUUACCCGGGAUGAUAAUGACAGUACCGGGAGAAUAAGCUCCGGCUAACUCCGUG